AAAGUUUCCGUCUGCUCUGUGCAGAGGGAGUGGAGCUCCGAGGGCUUGUGGCUUCGCAGUUCCUCUUCUGUGAACAGCCGAGAUCACGCGCUCCUCCCCAGCCACCCGUUCCUCCCCGCAGUCCUUCCCCUCCACUCCCUUCCCCUUCUCUGCUCAUGCAGGGAGCCCAGGAAGCCUCCGCCUCAGAGAUGCUACCGCUGCUGCUGCCCCUGCUGUGGGCAGCCUCGUACUAUGGUUAUGGCUACUGGUUCCUGGAAGGGGCUGAUGUUCCAGUGGCCACAAACGACCCAGACGAAGAAGUGCAGGAGGAGACCCAGGGCCGAUUCCACCUCCUCUGGGAUCCCAGAAGGAAGAACUGCUCCCUGAGCAUCAGAGAUGCCCGGAGGAGGGACAAUGCUGCAUACUUCUUUCGGUUGAAGUACAAACGGAUGAAAUACGGUUAUACAUCUUCCAAGCUCUCUGUGCGUGUGAUGGCCCUGACCCACAGGCCCAACAUCUCCAUCCCAGGGACCCUGGAGUCUGGCCAUCCCAGCAAUCUGACCUGCUCUGUGCCCUGGGUCUGUGAGCAGGGGACACCCCCCAUCUUCUCCUGGAUGUCAGCUGCCCCCACCUCCCUGGGCCCCAGGACCACCCAGUCCUCAGUGCUCACGAUCACCCCACGGCCCCAGGACCACAGCACCAACCUCACCUGUCAGGUGACGUUCCCUGGAGCCGGUGUGACCGUGGAGAGAACCAUCCAGCUCAAUGUCUCCUAUGCUCCACAGAAAGUGGCCAUCAGCAUCUUCCAAGGAAACAGCGCAGCCUUCAAAAUCCUGCAAAACACCUCGUCCCUCCCUGUCCUGGAGGGCCAGGCUCUGCGGCUGCUCUGUGAUGCUGACGGCAACCCCCCUGCACACCUGAGCUGGUUUCAGGGCUUCUCCGCCCUGAACGCCACCCCCAUCUCCAAUACUGGGGUCCUGGAGCUGCCUCAAGUAGGGUCUGCAGAAGAAGGAGAUUUCACCUGCCGUGCUCAGCAUCCUCUGGGCUCCCUGCAAAUCUCUCUGAGUCUCUUUGUGCAUUGUGAGUGUGGGGGGAGGUGCGCGAGAGUGUGGGCAGCUGGGCGAGAGCUCCAUAGUAUUCAGAGAAGAGGCCCCUGCUAAGUCCUGUCCUCCCUCCCCAGACCCCUCACAACUGCUGGGACCCUCCUACCUCUGGGAGGCUUAGAGUCCACACUGCAGUGGCUCCUCCCUGCACUGGCAGCUUGGGGAGGGGAUGCUGGAGGGAUGGGAACAGCAGCCAUGGCUCCUUCACAGUCACCCCCAGCCAGCCAGACCCUUGGUCAACAGCUCCCUGAGCCCCUGCCAGGGAUUCAGCUCAAGUCUCAGGCUCAGCUUUGUGGCCCAGAACAUCCCAG
rnacentral:sRNA from 1 species